rfam:Aedes aegypti strain Liverpool supercont1.195 genomic scaffold, whole genome shotgun sequence.
CAAUCGGCCCUUUUCAGGGCCAACAAAAGUGUUAUUUGUGCAAUAU